UACAGAGGGUGCGAGCGUUAAUCGGAAUUACUGGGCGUAAAGCGCGCGUAGGCGGCUUUGCAAGUCGGGUGUGAAAUCCCCAGGCUUAACCUGGGAACUGCAUUCGAGACUGCAUUGCUAGAGUAUGGGAGAGGGAAGUGGAAUUUCCGGUGUAGCGGUGAAAUGCGUAGAUAUCAGGAGGAACACCGAUGGCGAAGGCAGGUCUCUGGGCCACUACUGACGCUGAGAAGCGAAAGCAUGGGGAGCGAACAGG
rnacentral:rRNA from 1 species